rnacentral:rRNA from 1 species
GUAGUCAUAUGCUUGUCUCAAAGAUUAAGCCAUGCAUGUGUAAGUACGCACGGCCGGUACAGUGAAACUGCGAAUGGCUCAUUAAAUCAGUUAUGGUUCCUUUGGUCGCUCGCUCCUCUCCUACUUGGAUAACUGUGGUAAUUCUAGAGCUAAUACAUGCCGACGGGCGCUGACCCCCUUCGCGGGGGGGAUGCGUGCAUUUAUCAGAUCAAAACCAACCCGGUCAGCCUCCUCCCGGCCCCGGCCGGGGGGCGGGCGCCGGCGGCUUUGGUGACUCUAGAUAACCUCGGGCCGAUCGCACGCCCCCCGUGGCGGCGACGACCCAUUCGAACGUCCGCCCUAUCAACUUUCGAUGGUAGUCGCUGUGCCUACCAUGGUGACAACGGGUAACGGGGAAUA